rnacentral:rRNA from 1 species
UACGGAGGGUGCAAGCGUUAAUCGGAAUUACUGGGCGUAAAGCGCACGCAGGUGGCUGAGUCAGUCGAUUGUGAAAGCCCUGGGCUUAACCUGGGAAUUGCAGUCGGUACUACUCAGCUAGAGUAUGGGAGAGGGUAGUGGAAUUCCCGGUGUAGCGGUGAAAUGCGUAGAUAUCGGGAGGAACAUCAGUGGCGAAGGCGGCUACCUGGCCCAAUACUGACACUCAGGUGCGACAGCGUGGGGAGCAAACAGG